rnacentral:rRNA from 1 species
GACGAACGCUGGCGGCGUGCUUAACACAUGCAAGUCGAACGGAAAGGCCCUGCUGUUGUGGGGUGCUCGAGGGGCGAACGGGUGAGUAACACGUGAGUAACCUGCCCUUGACUUUGGGAAAACUUCAGGAAACUGGGGCUAAUACCGGAUAGGAGCUCCUGCUGCAUGGUGGGGGUUGGAAAGUUUCGGCGGUUGGGGAUGGACUCGCGCCUUAUCUGCUUGUGGGUGGGGUAGUGGCUUACCAAGCCUUUGACGGGUAGCCGGCCGGAGAGGGUGACCGGCCCGGUUGCGUCUGGGCUACGGCCCAGCCUCCUCCGGGAGGCAGCAGUGGGGAAUAUUGUACUGUGGGCUGAAGCCUGCUGCGGCAACGCCGCGUCCGGGAUGACGGCCUUCGGGUUGUAAACCGCUUUCGCCUGUGACGAAGCGUGAGUGACGGUACUGGGUAAAGAAGCACCGGCUAACUACGUG